rnacentral:lncRNA from 10 species
UUUAGGAGAAAUUCAUAGGUGAAGGAGGAGAAAGCAGGAGAUGGAAAGGUGUUAAGAGCAGAGGGAAAAGCGUGUGUGCAGAGAGGCGCAGAGGAAGCAGUGGCACAUGUUUGGGCAGCUGCUCAGUGGCUGGAGAGCAGGGACUGUGGAGAGUCAUCCAAUUCCCAUGUAAGGAAGGGAAACAGGAAGAGACUUGUUAAUUCAGCCCAGCAGUCUCCCCACAACCUCUGGGGAUGGCCUCAUGGGUGUGCAGGGCCUCCAGAGCUAAAACUGUUUGAGAGAAGGCUUCUGUGCUGUCCAUACCAGGCCCCUCCCCAGAAUUCAGCCUUGCUCCAGGCGGGCUCCACUGGCUGCCUACAGACAGGCCAACCCUUGGCUUCCCCAUGGCCCUCGCCACCAAGAUCACACAGCCCUGCUAAUUAGUUAUUGAUCUGGUAUUUUGUUGUGGCUGCGCUUCCCACUCCUGUGUUUAGUCGAUUCCCAAGUUAAUGAAGCUGGAUUCUGUACCGCCCCCCUUCCCCCCCAUCACCUCUCUGUGUUCCCACUGCUGCUACUCCAACGGAAUGGCUCCAGACAAAGACCACUGAAAACGAGCCGCACUCCUGCUAACAGGAAGACAGCGGAGAAGCAGGUGGGAGGAAUAUUCCCCCUGGAAUCAGCUGCAGAGGACGCCUGUUGCCUUUGUUGGGUCAGGUCUCCUGCGGCCCAGCAUUUUCCAUGGUGGCCUGAAAGCCAACUGUGGCAUGAGGGCGAUGUGGAUCAAAGAGCUUCUUCCACCGUCACAACCCUGUGUCUCUGGGUGGGCCUGUAGGGUAGCAGAUGGUAGUCUGGGAAAAACCACUUCUUCCUUUCUGGGUAAUUUUUAUUCAGUCAUUUAACUCCUCUCAGCUUCCAUUUCCUUAAAAUAGGCAUUCUGUUGUAUCUUUCCAGGGUAUUGGGAGGAUCCAGUUGGAUGCUCUGUGAAACUUCUUUGAAAACAGUAAAAUAGUAUAAGAAGGAAUCAUGGGUUUGCUAUUACUCUUAGGGAGGGACUGGGAUCCAGGACAAUCUGGAAUGGGGUUUCAGAUGUGGAAAAAAUUACCAUUCUGCUCCCCUGCCCAUGUUUGUAUUAAAUGAAACUGUUCAUGAGAGCAUCAGAAUAAGGGGUUGAUAUCCAGAAUAUAUAAAGAACUCCUACAACUCAACAAUGCAAAAACAACCCAAUUUACAAAUGGGCAAGGAAGUUGAAUGGACAUUUCACCAAAGAAGAUAUACAAAUGGCCAAUGUGCACAUGAAAACAUACUCAAUAUCCACUGAUCAUUAGGGAAAUGCAAAUCCAAACUGCAGUAAGAUACUACCUCCUACCUAUUAGAAUGGCAUGAUUUAAACACACAGAGAAAAUAACAGGCGUUGGCCAGGAUGUGGAGAAAUGAGAACCUUUGUGCAUUGCUGGUGGGAAUAUAAAAUGGUACGGCCCCUGUGAAAAACUGUGGCAGUUCAUCAGAAUUUAAACAGGGAGUUCCCGUAUGAUCCAACAGCUCCACUCCUGGGUUUCUGUGCAAAAGAACUGAAAGCAGAGACCCUAAGAGAUAUGUGUACACCCAUGUUCAUAGCAGCAUUAUUCACGAUAGCCAGAAGGUAAAAACAACACAAAUAGGCAUUGACAGAUGACUAGACAAACAAAAUGUGGUAUCUGCAUACAACAGAAUAUUAUUCAGCCUUCAAAAGAAAGGAAAUUCUGACACAUGCUGCAUCAUUAAUGAACCUUGAAGGAUAUUAUGCUAAGUGAAAUAAGCCAGUUGCAAAAGGACAAAUGCUGUAUGAUUCCACUUAGAUGAGGUGCCUAGAGUAGUCAGAUUCAUAGAGACAGAAAGUAGAAUGUGGGUUGCCAGGGCCUGGUGGGAGGAGGGAAGGGGGAUAGGGUAGUCGAAUUCACAGAGUUGGAAAGUAGAAUGUGGGUUGCCAGGGCCUGGAGGGAAGAGGGAAGGGGGAGUUGCUGUUUAAUGGCUGCAGAGUUUUGGCCGGGGAUGAUGGGGUCAUUCUGAAGAUGGAUGGUGGUGAUGGUUGUACAACAGUGUCAGUGUACUUAAUGCUACUCAACUGUACACUUAAAAUGGCUAAAAUAAUAUGUAUAUUUUGCCACAGUUUAAAAAAUAAAAAUAUUUUUAAAUGGUU